GCGGCGGCCCGGGGGCGGUGAAAAGGAGCCGGGGGGGCCCGAGAGCCGCCGCCGCUCGCCAUGAGGGCAGCGCUCGCCCCCGGGGUCCGCCUGCUCCGAGCCCUGCCCCGGGACAGCCGCUAUCGGGGACUGACUCUGGUGCUGACCUUCCUCUCCUACACCAGCUACCACCUCUCCCGAAAACCCAUCAGCAUCGUCAAGAGCCAGCUGCACCCCAACUGCUCAGCCUUGGGCCCAAACCCCCACAAUGACUCCAACAGCACCACAUGGUGCAGCUGGGCCCCCUUUGAUGGGGACAACUACAAGGAACUUUUUGGGGCGCUGGAUAAUGCCUUCCUGGUGGCCUAUGCCAUUGGGAUGUUCAUCAGUGGCAUUUUUGGGGAGCGCCUCCCUCUGCGCUACUACCUGUCGGGGGGAAUGGUGCUGAGCGGGCUCUUCACCUCCCUCUUUGGCCUCGGCUACUUCUGGGACAUCCACGUCCUCUGGUACUUCAUCAUUGUGCAGGUCUGCAACGGGCUGGUGCAGACGACUGGCUGGCCUGCUGUCGUGGCAUGCGUUGGAAACUGGUUUGGCAAAGGAAAGAGAGGUUUGAUCAUGGGCAUCUGGAACUCCCACACCUCCGUUGGCAACAUCUUAGGGUCGCUCAUCGCUGGUGCCUGGGUUUCCUCUGCCUGGGGCCUGUCCUUUGUUGUGCCUGGCAUCAUCAUCACUGCUGUGGGCAUCAUCUGCUUCUUCUUCCUCGUGGAGUACCCUGAGGAUGUUGACUGCAGUCCACCUCUGCAUCAUACUGCCUGUGAUGAGGAUCCUGGGGGAGUGACCACCAGUGAGAAGGAUCCUGAAGCAGUCACCUCCAAUGAGGGCCCACUCAGCCUCUCAGGCCAGAGCAGUGUGGAUCACCACUCCAGCAGCCCCAAGGAGCCAGCUGAGGAGCCUGAAGCCAUCAGCUUCCUUGGGGCACUUCGGAUACCUGGUGUGGUGGAAUUCUCCCUGUGCCUGCUCUUUGCCAAGCUGGUGAGCUACACCUUCCUGUACUGGCUGCCCCUCUACAUUGUCAACGUGGCUCAUUUUGGUGCCAAGGAAGCUGGGGACCUCUCCACCCUCUUUGAUGUCGGGGGCAUUUUAGGGGGGAUCUUCGCUGGCCUCAUCUCUGACUACACAGGCGGCAGGGCCACCACGUGCUGCGUGAUGCUGGUGGUGGCUGCCCCCAUGCUGUUCCUGUAUAACCAUGUGGGUCAGAAUGGCAUUGGCACAUCAAUAGCCAUGCUGAUUGUCUGUGGUGCUCUGGUGAACGGGCCCUACGCUCUCAUCACGACAGCAGUGUCAGCAGAUUUGGGCACCCAUGAAUCUCUCAAAGGAAAUGCCAAAGCCCUUUCGACUGUCACGGCCAUCAUCGACGGCACGGGAUCUGUUGGUGCUGCGCUGGGGCCGCUGCUCGCAGGGCUCAUCUCUCCCACGGGCUGGAAUAAUGUCUUUUACAUGUUGAUAGCAGCUGAUGUCCUGGCUUGUCUGCUCCUGGCUCGUGUGGUGCUCAAAGAGGCUCGUGGCUGGUGUGGCCCCAUGGCGAGGCAGAGAGGGUAUGUAGUGACCUCCCUGGGGCAGCCUCCAGUGCCACCAUGCCCAAACACAGUGCUGGUGCUGCUCCAGAAAGAUGUUUGUUAUCCCUUGCUGUCGCUGCUGCAUCUCCGCGUGGGAAUGGCGGGGCCGCCCGCCCCACCUCUCGCUCCCGUGGCCACAGAGACAUUUCCACCUCCAGCCAAGGCAGCACCUGGGGGCUUUUAGCCAUCAAAAGACACCUGGGGUGCUAAACACAGUGUCCUUGUGUCUUUGUAGCUCUAGUGUGCAGCUAACAGAGUCAGUGAUGGAUGGGAAGUAGCUCGGUGUGAAACACCAAAAUUCUGGGCCUCGUGCUGCGGUAAGUGCAGCCCAAAGCUCCUCCUUCGGUGCCGGUGGAGGGCUGCCAGGCUCUGCUCUCUGCUGCCGGGGCUGGUCAGGGCCAUGCCUGUCCCGGGGCUGGCAGCGUCCGUGCCCGGUUUCUGCUGGGGGAGCAGCUGGCUCAGACUGGGGCAGCGCUGCAAUGUCUGAGGGCUUUGGGGACUGCCUUUGGAGCAGCUUGCAGAGGAGAGGCACAAACGCUGUAGGAUUUUUGGGGACAUUUCAGCUUUGGCCGGAGACAAAACAGUGGCUGGAUCUGCUCCUUGCGCCUCUUCUCCUCCUCGCGGUUUAAGGAGUUCUGAGCCCAGCCCGGCGCAGGAGGAGCGGCGGGGGCGCACGGAGCGGGGCGGGCGGAGCGCGGGCGCUCGGCGGAGCUGCGGCCCCGGCCCGCGGAGCCCCCACCCACCGCCCGGGGCUGCGUCCAGCCCAGCCGGGCCAGGGGGAGGCAAAGGGCCCCGGCCACUCGGUGUGCUGGGUCAGUUCUUCACCAUCGGCCGUUUUAUUAAUAAAAAGGUGCAAAACCUG